rnacentral:rRNA from 1 species
AUGUGUGUCCAAGCAACAAGUCUGAGAACGAGUGAAAUGCUUUUUCUCUCAAGGACAAGUUGUGAUGGGGAGCGAAAUAUAGUGGCGAAGUUCCUGAUGUCACACUGCCAAGAAAAGCUUCUAGCGAGAAAGUAACUGCCCGUACCGCAAACCGACACAGGUAGUUGAGGAGAGAAUCCUAAGGUGUGCGAGAGAACUCUCGUUAAGGAACUCGGCAAAAUGACCCCGUAACCUCGGGAGAAGGGGUGCUGACCGCAAGGUCAGCCGCAGUGAAUAGGCCCAAGCGACUGUUUAUCAAAAACACAGGUCUCUGCAAAAUCGAAAGAUGACGUAUAGGGGCUGACGCCUGCCCGGUGCUGGAAGGUUAAGAGGAGAGGUUAGCGCAAGCGAAGCUUUGAAUUGAAGCCCCAGUAAACGGCGGCCGUAACAAUAACGGUCCUAAGGUAGCGAAAUUCCUUGUCGGGUAAGUUCCGACCCGCACGAAAGGCGUAACGAUUUGGGCACUGUCUCAACGAGAGACUCGGUGAAAUUAUAGUACCAGUGAAGAUGCUGGUUACCCGCGACAGGACGGAAAGACCCCAUGGAGCUUUACUGCAGUUUGAUAUUGCGUGUUUGUAUCACAUGUACAGGAUAGGUAGGAGCCAAUGAUACCGGGACGCCAGUCUCGGAGGAGGCAACGGUGGGAUACUACCCUUGUGAUAUGACCACUCUAACCCGCUGCUCUUAGCGAGCAGGGAGACAGUGUCAGACGGGCAGUUUGACUGGGGCGGUCGCCUCCAAAAAUGUAACGGAGGCGCCCAAAGGUUCCCUCAGAAUGGUUGGAAAUCAUUCGUAGAGUGUAAAGGCAGAAGGGAGCUUGACUGCGAGACCUACAAGUCGAGCAGGGACGAAAGUCGGGCUUAGUGAUCCGGUGGUUCCGCAUGGAAGGGCCAUCGCUCAACGGAUAAAAGCUACCCUGGGGGUAACAGGCUUAUCUCCCCCAAGAGUUCACAUCGACGGGGAGGUUUGGCACCUCGAUGUCGGCUCAUCGCAUCCUGGGGCUGUAGUCGGUCCCAAGGGUUGGGCUGUUCGCCCAUUAAAGCGGUACGCGAGCUGGGUUCAGAACGUCGUGAGACAGUUCGGUCCCUAUCCGUCGCGGGCGUUGGAAAUUUGAGAGGAGCUGUCCUUAGUACGAGAGGACCGGGAUGGACACACCGCUGGUGUACCAGUUGUUCUGCCAAGAGCAUCGCUGGGUA